GCUCCUUCGGGGACCUCUGAUAAUAUUGGAACCAUACAUGGAAGAUUAGCAUGGUCCCUGCGCAAAUAUGACAUACACAAAUCAAGAAACGAUGGAUAACAUU
rfam:Helianthus annuus linkage group 16, whole genome shotgun sequence.